rnacentral:rRNA from 1 species
CCCUUAGAUGUUCUGGGCCACACGCGCGUUACACUGAUGAAGCCAGCGAGUAUAUCGCCUUCACCGGAAGGUGCGGGUAAUCUUGUGAAACUUCAUCGUGCUGGGGAUAGACCAUUGCAAUUAUUGGUCUUGAACGAGGAAUUCCUAGUAAGCAUGAGUCAUCAACUCGUGCUGAUUACGUCCCUGCCCUUUGUACACACCGCCCGUCGCUACUACCGAUUGAAUGGUUUAGUGAGAUCUCGGGAUUGGAGACGUUGCGCCGCAAGGCACAUCGUCCUCGGGAACUUGAUCAAACUUGAUCAUUUAGAGGAAGUAAAAGUCGUAACA